rnacentral:rRNA from 1 species
GACGAACGCUGGCGGCGUGCUUAACACAUGCAAGUCGAACGGAAAGGCCCUGCUUUUGUGGGGUGCUCGAGUGGCGAACGGGUGAGUAACACGUGAGUAACCUGCCCUUGACUUUGGGAUAACUUCAGGAAACUGGGGCUAAUACCGGAUAGGAGCUCCUGCUGCAUGGUGGGGGUUGGAAAGUUUCGGCGGUUGGGGAUGGACUCGCGGCUUAUCAGCUUGUUGGUGGGGUAGUGGCUUACCAAGGCUUUGACGGGUAGCCGGCCUGAGAGGGUGACCGGCCACAUUGGGACUGAGGUACGGCCCAGACUCCAACGGGAGGCAGCAGUGGGAGAUAUUGCACAAUGGGCGGAAGCCUGAUGCAGCAACGCCGCGUGCGGGAUGACGGCCUUCGGGUUGUAAACCGCUUUCGCCUGUGACGAAGCGUGAGUGACGGUAAUGGGUAAAGAAGCACCGGCUAACUACGUG